rnacentral:tRNA from 1 species
GAUUAUUUAGUUUAAAUAAAAUAGAUGCCUUGAAAGCGUCAGAUAAGAACAUUAACUCUUAAUAAUUG